GAUGAACGCUGGCGGCGUGCCUAAUACAUGCAAGUCGAGCGAACAGACGAGGAGCUUGCUCCUCUGACGUUAGCGGCGGACGGGUGAGUAACACGUGGAUAACCUACUUAUAAGACGGGGGGAACUUCGGGAAACCGGAGCUAAUACCGGAUAAUACAUUGUACCGCAUGGUUCAAGAGUGAAAGACGGUUUUGCUGUCACUUAUAGAUGGAUCCGGGUCGCAUUAGCUAGUUGGUAAGGUAACGGCUUACCAAGGCAACGAUCCGUAGCCGACCUGAGAGGGUGAUCAGCCACACUGGAACUGAGACACGGUCCAGACUCCUACGGGAGGCAGCAGUGGGGAAUCUUCGGCAAUGGGCGCAAGCCUGACGGAGCCACGCCGCGUGAGUGAUGAAGGUCUUCGGAUCGUAAAGCUCUUUUAUUAGGAAAGAAAAGAUGUGUAAGUAACUCUGCACGUCUUGACGGUACCUAAUCAGAAAGCCCCGGCUAACUACGUG
rnacentral:rRNA from 1 species